rnacentral:rRNA from 1 species
GAUGAACGCUGGCGGCGUGCCUAAUACAUGCAAGUCGAGCGAACAGACGAGGAGCUUGCUCCUCUGACGUUAGCGGCGGACGGGUGAGUAACACGUGGAUAACCUACCUAUAAGACUGGGAUAACUUCGGGAAACCGGAGCUAAUACCGGAUAAUAUAUUGAACCGCAUGGUUCAAUAGUGAAAGACGGUUUUGCUGUCACUUAUAGAUGGAUCCGCGCCGCAUUAGCUAGUUGGUAAGGUAACGGCUUACCAAGGCAACGAUGCGUAGCCGACCUGAGAGGGUGAUCGGCCACACUGGAACUGAGACACGGUCCAGACUCCGACGGGAAGCAGCAGUAGGGAAUCUUACGCAAUGGGCGAAAGCCUGACGGAGCAACGCCGCGUGAGUGAUGAAGGUCUUCGGAUCGUAAAACUCUGUUAUUAGGGAAGAACAAAUGUGUAAGUAACUAUGCACGUCUUGACGGUACCUAAUCAGAAAGCCACGGCUAACUACGUG